CCGCCUCGCCUCCGCCUCUUUCUUGCUCGCCCUUCUCUCCUUCGUUUCCCUCUUUCCUUUCCCUCCUUUUCUCCUUCUCUCAGCCGGCCACGCCCUCCAUCUCCGCCCCUCCCCCUCCCCCUCCCCGGCUCCCCCCACGGCAGCGUGGCUUCCUCUCCGUCGCUCCCCGUACCCCUUAGUCCAUAUGAUGUUUGUUUGUUUGUUCGUACAAAUCUGAUGCUAUUUUUUCUCUUUUCCUCCUUUUGUGUCAGUCGGUCAGGCAACGGGCAACGGCUGCGCGGCUAGGUGGAGGCACGGCAGGGAGACGACGAGGAUGAGGCCGUGCGGCGGUGGUGGCUCGGUGCGAUGUGGAGGCCGGGACACUGGCGCGGCCAUGCGGUGGUAGGGGCAGGUCGUGAAUGUGCGGUGGUCGGAGAUCACCAUUGGCGUUGCCUCCCCCUCCUCUUGAUGUAUCCAUGGCAACCCCUAACCUGCUUCUUGUCGCUAUCUCCACAUAGAGGUAGUGGCAAUGGCAACGGAGGAAGGGAGCCAGGCUUUAGCGGUUUGUAGAUGAUGACGCAAUGACGAUGGUGUCUCUCAAGCGGUGGCUGGAGGUAGAACAAAUUUUUGGAUUUUGCUGUUUAUCUUCUGAUCUUGCUUUUCGUUAUGCAUCUGAUUUGGUUGUAUGGAAGCUGUGAAACACUGAUUUUG
rnacentral:sRNA from 1 species